GGCCCCUAAUUCCUAAACUGUUGGGACCUAAACUCCCAAAAUCAAUACCAACCUUCCUUUUGUAGUCAUUAACAUUGUGUUUAAAUUUCAUUGAUUUCUAUUUACUUCAACUAAAGUUAUUGUGCGAAAACCAAGAAUAAUGCUUAUUUGGGCCCUUUUUUGGCCCCUAAUUCCUAAACUGUUGAAACCAAAACUUCCAAAAUCAAUCCCAGCCGUUCUUUUGUGGUCAUAAACCUUGUGUCAAAAUUUCAUAGAUUUCUAUUAACUUAAACUAAAGUUAUAGUGGGAAAACCAAGAAAAUGCUUAUUUGGGCCCUUUUUGGCCCCUAAUUCCUAAAAUGUUGGGACCAAAACUCCCAAAAUCAAUACCAACCUUCCUUUUGUGGUCAUAAACCUUGUGUUAAAAUUUCAUAGAUUUCCAUUCACUUUUACUAAAGUCAGAGUGCGAAAACUAAAAGUAUUCGGACGACGACGAC
rnacentral:lncRNA from 1 species